CCCUAGCCCGUAUUGCAGCGGAAAUCUUUGUGCCGUUGCGGUUUAGUUUUUUCUUAAAAGCGGGAAGCGACCCACGGAAGCUCUCCCGAUUUUUUAGAAAAACAAACCGGAACAAACAAAAUUGGAGCGGAAAGACGGAAUAGCU
rnacentral:sRNA from 1 species